rnacentral:rRNA from 1 species
UGGUGGAGUGAUUUGUCUGGUUAAUUCCGUUAACGAACGAGACCUCGACCUGCUAAAUAGUUCAGUUCAAGUUUCGGCUUGAAUAUGUUUGACUUCUUAGAGGGACUAUCGGUGUGUAGCCGAUGGAAGUUCGAGGCAAUAACA